UCCGCAGUAGCUCAGAGGUAGAGCAAUCGGCUGUUAACCGAUCGGUCGUAGGUUCGACUCCUACCUGCGGAGCCA
rnacentral:tRNA from 1 species